UUCCAAAACAAAACCCCCGAUUUAGUUCUCAAAAACACCACCGUGUGUGCAUCAUUGACGGAAUCAUGCAUUUUCCUGGGGAGGACUAUAAUCUGCCCCUCCCCACACAGCGGUUAGCUGAGUGAGUCGUCAUGUUGUUUCUCCAGAAAUCACGGAGUGCGGAAAGAGUUUUGAAAUGAACGUUGUGUCGCUAACUUAUGGACGAGCCGCCGCUCUGUCUUUUUAUAAGUUCAGGAAGCUUUCUGAGUCAUUUUUGUCAGCUUCAACUAUGGUAUUUGGAAAUAUAAAAGAUGACGGUGAAGCUGGACCUGUGAGAAAAUAUAACCUGUCCAUUAACCUCUGAAGAAAUACAUCGCCACAUGGAGAGAUGCUGCUCAGUCUUGCUAGGAGUCGGGGAAAACUUCAGCUGUGCAGGAAAAUAUGACAGCGUCUGGACUGGGACUGACACCACCACCAACAUCAUCGUCAUCACCGCAGAGAAGAAACAUGGAAAGCUUGGCAAGGAGGCAGACCACCGCUGGGGCUUGGUGUCUCGUCAUGUGCAAAUAUGGGAUUAUUAUUCUUU